AUAGCCAUUAUACGGCGAAACUGCGAAUGGCUCAUUAUAUAAGUUAUCGUUUAUUUGAUAGCACAUUACUACUUGGAUAACCGUGGUAAUUCUAGAGCUAAUACAUGCUAAAAAUCCCGACUUCGGAAGGGAUGUAUUUAUUAGAUUAAAAACCAAUGCCCUCUGGGCUCUCUGGUGAAUCAUGAUAACUGCUCGAAUCGCAGGGCCUCGUGCCGGCGAUGGUUCAUUCAAAUUUCUUCCCUAUCAACUUUCGAUGUUUGGGUAUUGGCCAAACAUGGUUACAACGGGUAACGGAGGGUUAGGGCUCGACCCCGGAGAAGGAGCCUGAGAGACGGCUACUACAUCCAAGGAAGGCAGCAGGCGCGCAAAUUACCCAAUCCCGACACGGGGAGGUAGUGACAAUAAAUACUGAUACAGGGCUCUUUCGGGUCUUGUAAUUGGAAUGAGUACAAUUUAAAUCCCUUAACGAGGAACAAUUGGAGGGCAAGUCUGGCC
rnacentral:rRNA from 2 species